rnacentral:rRNA from 1 species
UUUAACGGCCGCGGUAUUCUAACCGUGCAAAGGUAGCGUAAUCACUUGUCUUUUAAAUAAAGACUUGUAUGAACGGCUAAAUGAGGAUAAACCUGUCUCCUAUGACUAAUCAGUGAAACUGAUCUCCCAGUACAAAAGCUGGAAUAACAACAUAAGACGAGAAGACCCUGUGGAGCUUUAAACUAAGUUUAAGUUGGGGCGACUUCGGAAUAAAACAAAACCUCCGAGCACACACUGAUCAACGAACCAAGUUACCCCAGGGAUAACAGCGCUAUCUUCUUCAAGAGUCCCUAUCGACAAGAAGGUUUACGACCUCGAUGUUGGAUCAGGACACCCAAAUGGUGCAGCCGCUAUUAAAGGUUCGUUUGUUCAACGAUUAACAGU